GUGCUUGCUUUGGCAGCCCAUAAACUAAAAUUAGAACAAUACAAAGAAGAUUAACAUGGUCCCUGUGCAAGAAUGACACUCAAAUUUGUGAAGCAUUCCAUAUUUAA